CCAAGCCCAAUCGCAUGAAAACAAGGUCUGGCUAUAGCACCUCAUCGACAUCUGAAGCAAUGUUCUCUCUGGCCUAACAGCGGGGGAAGCACCAUGUAGAGUGACGUAUCCAGCCCCAGCAUACUCCCGCAUAAAUUCACAGCAUGGGCCACCUCCAUCCGCUGGAGAACGGAUGGACCAGUCAGUUCUGGGUCCACUGAGAAACGAUGUGUAGAUUCCGAAGAUCCACAAAAGACUGAAAAUGAG